GAUGAAGAACGUAGCGAAAUGCUAUACUUGGUGUGAAUUGCAGAAUCCCGUGAACCAUCGAGUCUUUGAACGCAAGUUGCGCCUCAAGCCAUUAGGUUGAGGGCACGUCUGCCUGGGCGUCACAUAUCGUUGCCUGAUGCCAGUUUCCUCGUGAUGGGUGACUGUGCAGGGCGAAUGAUGGCUUCCCGUGAGCAUUGUUGCCUCAUGGUUGGUUGAAAAUUGAGUCCUUGGUAGGGAGCGCCGUGAUAGAUGGUGGUUGAGUGACAAACGAGACCCAAUCAUGUGAGACCCCUACCGAAUUUGGCCUUCAUGACCCACAUGCGUCUUUGGAACGCUCAUGACGAGACCUCAGGUCAGGCGGGGCUACCCGCUGAGUUUAAGCAUAUCAAUAAGCGGAGGA
rnacentral:misc_RNA from 1 species